rnacentral:rRNA from 1 species
GACAGAGGUGCCGAGCGUUAGGCGGAAUCACUGGGCUUAAAGCGUGUGUAGGCGGGCGAUCAAGUACCUUGUGAAAUCCCACGGCUCAACCGUGGAACCGCUGGGUAUACUGGUUGUCUUGAGCCGGCUAGGGGCGAGCGGAACAGACGGUGGAGCGGUGAAAUGCGUAGAUAUCGGCUGGAACGCCGAAGGUGAAAACAGCUCGCUGGGGCCGCGCUGACGCUGAGACACGAAAGCCAGGGGAGCGAACGGG